AUUGAACGCUGGCGGCAGGCCUAACACAUGCAAGUCGAACGAGUGGCGGACGGGUGAGUAAUGUCUGGGAAACUGCCCGAUGGAGGGGGAUAACUACUGGAAACGGUAGCUAAUACCGCAUACCAUCGGAUGAGCCCAUAUGGGAUUAGCUAGUAGGUGGGUUAAAGGCCCACCUAGGCGACGAUCCCUAGCUGGUCUGAGAGGAUGAUCAGCCACACUGGAACGGAGACACGGUCCAGACUCCUACGGGAUGCAGCAGUGGGGAAUAUUGCACAAUGGGCGCAAGCCUGAUGCAGCCAUGCCGCGUGUAUGAAGAAGGCCUGCGGGUUGUAAAGUACUUUCAGCGAGGAGGCGUUACUCGCAGAAGAAGCACCGGCUAACUCCGUGCAAGCAGCCGCGGUAAUAC
rnacentral:rRNA from 1 species